rnacentral:rRNA from 1 species
AUGGUAGGAUAGAGGCCUACCAUGGUGGUAACGGGUAACGGGGUGUUAGGGCACGACACCGGAGAGGGAGCCUGAGAAACGGCUACCACAUCCAAGGAUGGCAGCAGGCGCGCAAAUUACCCAAUCCCGACACGGGGAGGUAGUGACAAUAAAUAACAAUACGGGGUUCUUAUGGAUCUCGUAAUUGGAAUGAGUACAAUUUAAAUCUCUUAACGAGGAACAAUUGGAGGGCAAGUCUGGUGCCAGCAGCCGCGGUAAUUCCAGCUCCAAUAGCGUAUAUUAAAGUUGUUGCAGUUAAAAAGCUCGUAGUUGAAUUUCGGGGUCAGUAGGUUGGUCAUGCCACUGGUAUGUACUGGUCUCACUGAUUCCUCCUUCCUGAUGAACUGUAAUGCCAUUAAUUUGGUGUUGCAGGGAAUCUGGACUGUUACUUUGAAAAAAUUAGAGUGUUUAAAGCAGGCUAACGCCUGAAUACAUUAGCAUGGAAUAAUGAAAUAGGACGUUCGAUCCUAUUUUGUUGGUUUCUAGGAUUGACGUAAUGAUUAAUAGGGAUAGUUGGGGGCAUUAGUAUUCAAUUGUCGGAGGUGAAAUUCUUGGAUUUAUUGAAGACUAACUACUGCGAAAGCAUUUGCCAAGGAUGUUUUCAUUAAUCAAGAACGAAAGUUAGGGGAUCGAAGACGAUCAGAUACCGUCGUAGUCUUAACCAUAAACUAUGCCGACUAGGGAUCGGAUGAUGUUAAUUUUUUAAUGACUCAUUCGGCGCCUUACGGGAAACCAAAGUGUUUGGG